UCACAGUGCGACAGGUUCUCGGGGCACGACGCUGAAGUCCCUCGUGCAAUGUUCAUCACUUUUCCGACUACCCAGGGGCGAGAAAGUUCGCGCGAGAAGUGCGCGACACCCACGACAUCCGAGCACAAGGCCAAGUUCCUGACCAGGUCGGGAACGGACAUAUGACCAAGCAGGAGUGGACCCCGGGACGCGGCCUGGGUGCGAAGAAGCCGAAAUCCUGUUGGCGUUAUCAACGGACGCAACUCUUCGACUUGGAAUGCAUCUCCACUCAUAGUGCUGACACAAUCCGCGCCUGCAUCAUUGUCAACAUGCGUGUUCCUGCCGUGGUGUCACCAGCAAAGCUCGUCUUCGGUGAUCCGGCCACAUCAACGGUUGCAUCAUCCAGCCAGGAAUAUUGAAAGAGCUCUCUUACGUCCUCUUCACCUUCCGUGGGAACCGGAAAAGCACUUUCGGCAUGGCCCGUUUUCCUGGCCUCUGCUGCCAUGCAGUUGCAGAGAAGCGUGCUCACCGCAAGUGGCGAUGAUGGCGAGAAAUGCUCCACCACGGACUCUGAACGACAGUCCCUCGACCAGCCAGGAACAAGUUGGUGCGUCGUCCGCCGCACAGCCGCUGACCCACGCCCGAGUGGUUCUGCUCAAACGUCAGACCUGGCAUCUGUAUAACAGUGUCCACGUUUGCGGUCAGGAUGACCUGGCUAUCGGCACCAUUCCCCGCAUUUAUGGACAACGCGUGGUUACGCACGCACGCGCGCACA